rnacentral:rRNA from 1 species
AUUGAACGCUGGCGGCAGGCCUAACACAUGCAAGUCGAACGAGUGGCGGACGGGUGAGUAAUGUCUGGGAAACUGCCUGAUGGAGGGGGAGAACUACUGGAAACGGUAGCUAAAACCGCAUACUAUCGGUUGUGCCCAGAUGGGAUUAGCUAGUAGGUGGGGGAAAGGCUCACCUAGGCGACGAUCCCUAGCUGGUCUGAGGGGAUGACCACCCCAAUUGGAACUGAGACCGGGUCCAGACCCCUACGGGAGGCGGCAGUGGGGAAUAUUGCAAAAUGGGCGCAAGCCUAAUGCAGCCAUGCCGCGUGUAGGAGGAGGGCCUUCGGGUUGUAAAGUACUUUCAGCGGGGAGGCGUUACCCGAAGAGAAAGCCCCGGCUAACUCCGUGCCAGCAGCCGCGGUAAUAC